rnacentral:rRNA from 1 species
CGGUAAUUCCAGCUCCAAUAGCGUAUAUUAAAAUUGUUGCGGUUAGAACGCUCGUAGUCGAAUGUUUGUUCACGCCUGUUGGUCCUCCCUAGUGGUGCGUACUUAGUGCGGUCUGAGCAACUCUCUGGUACUCACGUUUACAGUUGAUUCUGUGGCACGCUGUCCAGAACAAUUACUUUGAGGAAAUGAGAGUGCUCCAAGCAAAUGUGUGUUGUGAAUAUAUUAGCAUGGAAUAAUGGCAUGGGACAUCCUCCUGGAGAUGCUGGUUUUUGGGCAGAUGUAAUAAGGGUGGGGAUAGUUGGGGGCAUUCAAAUCUAAUUGUUAGAGGUGAAAUUCUUGGAUUUUUUAAAGAUGGACUACUGCGAAAGCAUCUGCCAAAGAUGUUUUUAUCGAUCAAGAACGAAAGUUAAGGGAUCGAAGACGAUCAGAUACCGUCCUAGUCUUAACCUUAAACUAUGUCUACUAGGGAUUGGGGUCAUCAGAUAUUUGUUGUUUUCAGCAUCUUCAGAGAAAUCAAAGUUUGUGGGUUCCGGGGGGAGUAUGGUCACAAGGCUGAAACUUAAAGGAAUUGACGGAGGGGCACCACCAGGAGUGGAGCCUGCGGCUUAAUUUGACUCAACACGGGAUAACUCACCAGGUCCAGACUUAGAAAGGAUUGACAGACUGAUAGCCCUUUCUUGAUUCCAUGGGUGGUGGUGCAUGGCCGUUCUUAGUUGGUGGAGUGAUUUGUCUGGUUAAUUUCGUUAACGAACGAGACCUUAUCUUGCUAAGUAGUAUAUAAAACACCACAGUUUGAAAUUGCUCUUCUUAGAGGGACUUUGUGUAUUUAGCGUGAGGAAGUGUGAGGCAAUAACAGGUCUGUGAUGCCCUUAGAUGCUCUGGGCUGCACGCGCGCUACACUGAUAUGUUCAGCGAGCUCCCAACCCACUCAGUACAGAACGGGUACUCUUGUAAACACAUAUCGUGAUGGGGAUAGAUUAUUGCAACUAUUGAUCUCAAACGAGGAAUUCCUAGUAAGUGCAAGUCAUUAGCUUGUGUUGAAUACGUCCCUGCCCUUUGUACACACCGCCCGUCGCUCCUACCGAUUGAGUGCUCCGGUGAACAAUUUGGACUGUGUUGACUCAGAGUGGGAUUCAAGUGGAAAAUUUAGUGAACCUUAUCACUUAGAGGAAGGAGAAGUCGUAACAGGGUAACC